CAGAUAUUGUGAUAUAGACAGUCAAGGGAAUAAAGCAUUGGUCAUGAAACAGUAUCUUUCAAAUGAAAAAGUUGAUGAAAUUAAUGAAAUUAUUGAGAUGAAAAUAACUCACAGGAAGAAUAUUGAACGAAGGAAGGCAAAAUUUGGAAUUGAUUCAGUAUCAGAGAUGGGAAAGAAUAUUGCUGGCGCUGCAGUUCUUGUUCCUGACAGUUCAGACGGAUCCCCUCCAGAGAAUCCAUUCGGGGAUUAAUUAUCUAAUCCAUAGUUCCUUACAGCACAGAUGGAUCCGCUUCAUAGAAUUCAUUCGGGUAUUAAAAUUCAAUCAUUAGUUCCAGAAAGUGAAGACGAAUCCACUUCAUAGGAUCCAUUCGGAGACUAGAAUUCAACCCUAUAGCUCGUAAAGCAGAGAUGGAUCCCCUUCAGAGAAUCCAUUCGGAGACUAGAAUUUAAUCCAUAGUUUCGUAAAGUCCAGAUUGAUCCCCUUGGGAGAUUAUAAUUCAAUCCUUAGUUCCUGACAUUUCAGAUGGAUCCCCACUAGAGAAUCCAUUUGGAGAUUUGAAUUCAAUCCUUAGAUUUUACAGUUCAGACGGAUCCCCUCCAGAGAGUCCAUUCGAUAUCUACAGUUCAGAUAGAUCCCAUCCAGAGAAUCCAUUCGGAGAUUUAAAUUCAAUCCUUAGCUUUUACAGUUUCCUAUGAUCCCUUCCGGAGAAUUUAUUUGGAGAUUAGAAUUCAAUCCUUAGUUUUUUACAGCUUAGAUGAAAUUCAAGCCGUAGUUCCUAACAGGCUAUGGAUUAUUGACAUCACACCCCCUCCUUUAUUACUCUCGAAGAAUAAAUUUGAUUAAUUUGUCCCCGAAUCCUGAACGCUAAUUUGAAACAAAAUAUGAUUUGAUUUCAAUCAAGUCGAAAUAAAUUUAGACCAUGAA